rnacentral:piRNA from 1 species
UCUAAAAAGCUGAACUCCCAAGUAGAAUGGU